CAACCAAUGUCAAAGACAACGCCAAAACUAUUAGCAAGGAAUAAAUUAAUUUGUAAAAUUAACGGUGUAAUAAAUCUAAUUAUGGACAUAGAUCCAGUGGAUUUUUUCCCUGGAUAUAAUCCUUGUGCGUGUCUUGGAAGAUGCAGAUGUGUUCCAGAAACUCGAUCGUCUUUUUGGACAUAUUGCUUUGCUAUUCUUGUAUCAAUAGCCAUUUGUGGAUCUGGUGUGUAUUAUUAUGAGGAGUUUGUUAAAAGCCUGCUUGAAAAAUGGAUUAAUUCCACCAAUGAAGAACAUUGUAUAAAACCCGAACAGUUACUAGCUAUCAAACAAGAUCUUCAAAAUUUAAAAGAUAAGCUUGAUGCAUCAGAAAUGUGGCGAAAGCAGCUUGAUAGCUUCCAUUCCAGUUCUUGUCCUCAUCUAGAAGUCAACAUUGAACACAUAGUACAAGAAGCAUUGGACAUAUAUGAUUCAGACAAAAUCGGUUUGUUUGAUUUUGCAGCUUCAUAUGCUAACGGUGCUAUAGUUUCUACUCCAGAAACUUAUCCAUAUCCACUAAACAAAACUACUACCGUUUUUGGAUUAGUAUAUAUAAAUAUGUUAUCAAAUCCAGAAAAUUUAUUACAAACUGGCAAUCUUCCAGGUAACUGCUUCGCCUUUUAUGGUAGCCAAGGAAGGAUACGAAUCAAGUUAGGCAAAAAGAUUGCUAUUAAGGCCAUUACUUUAGAUCAUCUUAAACUACUUCCAGACAGAAGUAGUGCCCCGAAAGAUUUUGAAAUCUAUGGUCUUGCUAACCCAUACGCUCCAUCAGAAAUAUUAUUAGGAACAUUUACAUACGAACUGAAUGGAAGAUCUUAUCAAACUUUUAAAAUUAGUAGAUAUGACGAUUCCCUUAUGUUUGAAUAUGUGGAAUUACAUAUAUUGAAUAACCAUGGGAAAGAAGAAUUCACUUGUUUAUACAGAUUCAGAGUUCAUGACAAGUAUAUUGAAAAACAUUAAAAUUAAUAUAAUAUUUCUAAGUAUAAUAAAACCAUCGUGUAUAUUUUCCUUUUGGUAGAAUUUCAGCUAAGCUAUUUCUUGGUGAUACACUUUGACAUAUCAUACACGAAGUAUCCAAAUGUUAUAGUCAUAUAUAAACAUAAUUAUUUCAGUUUAAAUAGAUGAUUUUGUCUGGAGCACCUGAUAAUUCGCUUCCAAGUUCUAAAGAUACUUCAGGAAUUUCAGAGAUAUACUGAUCCAAAAUUUUUAGUAGCUAGAGAAGCAAUUCGUAUAAGUUGCCUUCAUAAGACUUUCCAGAGGAAAACAAUCUGCUAGUUUUAUUGCCAACUCUAUAUUACCUGAUAGAAACUCGGCCAAAAUUUAUAUCUGAGAACAGUUUCUAUAAGUCAAAGGCAAAGGACAUCUUUUCAGCUAUAUUCAAUUUUAUACAUUUUGAUUGAAAGAGUACAGUUGUGGUUUUAGUUGCUGAACUGAAGGUUUAACUAGGUUCUAGGUAGGACUGAGUGAAAAAAAAAAUGAAUGAUGAAUAGCUCAGUUAUAUUGACAUGUACGGGUUUUGAUAAAUAUUUCAUUCGCUUCACAUUUGGAACUAUUCAAAAAAUCUCUAUAUUUUAAUAUAUCACUAGCCAUUUCUGCUAAUAUAAAUAUACUUCCAAUAAUAUUACCACUAGUUAGGCUUGGAAUGACAGAUCCAUCGACUACAAACAAAUUGUUGGUACCUAUGACUUCAAAAUUAAAAUUAACUACACUAUUUUCGUCCUCAUUGGGUCCCAUUUUACAAGUACCAACUGGAUGAUAAGAGGUAAUAGUUAUAUGCCUCACAUAACAACUCCAAUAUUCUCUUGAACUGAAUUGAAAUUGUUUACAUGGAGGAAAUAUUUGCUCAUUAAAACUGGCACCUAAUUUUUUCAUCGCUUCAGUAUUGAUCAGUUUUUGUAUAAUUUCUAAUCCUUUUAUUAAUAUAUCGACAUCAUGUGCAUGUGUAAGAUAUUUUGGAUCAAUAAGUAUUGGACUGCUAAAUUUAUUAUCUUGGAGACGUAUAUUCCCUCGACUUUUGGGAUGUAGAAGAACAGGUAAUAUUGUGGCAGUCAAAGUAUUAUAUGGUUUGUUGAAAUAACUGUUCCAAGUUUCAUCUGUAAUACCCAUUAAGUGGCGAAGAUAAAAGCCAUUAUCUUCUUUUAACCCUAAAGGCAUAACCAUCAACUGAAGAUCAGGUGGAUCAUCAUGUUUUCCUUCAGUAUUAAAAUAAGCUAGUAUAUCACAUCCUACAGUUGUCCAUGGACCAAUACCAUACCAAAAAUAUUCAAACAAUGAACGAAAUGACAGUAAAUAUUCGAUACCAAUUCCUAACGAGUUCUUAAGCAAUACCAAAUCAAAGCCUGUAGUCAGAUGAUCUUGUAGGUUUUCUCCAACUGGUAAAUUUAUCUUUGUUUCAAUAUUGACUUCAUCCAAAUGUUUUUUUUGACCGAUUCCCGAGUGUAGUAGAAUUUUUGUAGUACCCACUACACCUGCAAUUUGUGAAGAAAAUUAAACAAUGAUUAAAUAUUUAUAUCUGAU